CCUACGGGAGGCAGCAGUGGGGAAUAUUGGACAAUGGGCGAAAGCCUGAUCCAGCAAUUCCGCGUGUGUGAAGAAGGCCUUCGGGUUGUAAAGCACUUUAGGCUGGGAAGAAAAAGCUCCGGUGAAUAUCCGGAGUGUUGACGGUACCAACAGAAUAAGCACCGGCUAACUCUGUGCCAGCAGCCGCGGUAAUACAGAGGGUGCAAGCGUUAAUCGGAUUUACUGGGCGUAAAGCGUGCGCAGGUGGUUUCGUAAGUCGGAUGUGAAAGCCCCGGGCUCAACCUGGGAACUGCGUUCGAUACUGCGAGACUAGAGUUUGGUAGAGGGUGGCGGAAUUCCCGGUGUAGCGGUGAAAUGCGUAGAUAUCGGGAGGAACAUCAAUGGCGAAGGCAGCCACCUGGGCCUGAACUGACACUGAGGCACGAAAGCGUGGGUAGCAAACAGGAUUAGAUACCCUGGUAGUCCACGCCGUAAACGAUGAGAACUUGACGUCGGCCCGUUUUACGAGUCGGUGUCGUAGCUAACGCGAUAAGUUCUCCGCCUGGGGAGUACGGCCGCAAAGGUUUGAAAACCUUAAAUGAAUAGAGCGNGAGAGNGCGACGACGACACGAGGGAGGAGG
rnacentral:rRNA from 1 species